ACCUCUAGAGGGCGGUCUAUGCAAAGUCUCCCUCCCGUUUAUCCCUUUAUAAUCAGACACUCAGCACUGGCCUUCUCAUUAUAGCCAGUGUGGAUUGAUUCGGUAGCAAGCACUGCAUAUAACCUGACUAUCACUGAACAAUGAGGACUGUCUGGAGUUUAGUACUCAUGGUGGUGUUUGUAAAAAGUGUUCAGGGUCAGACACUAACUGAGUCUGGACCAGUUGUUAAAAAGCCUCAGGAAUCCCACAAACUGACCUGUACAGCCUCUGGUUUUACUUUCAGUAGCUACUGGAUGGCUUGGAUCAGACAGGCUCCUGGGAAAGGACUGGAGUGGGUGUCCUAUAUUAGCAGUGAUGGUGGCAGCACUUACUACCCCCAGUCUGUUCAGGGUCGGUUCACCAUCUCCAGAGACAACAGCAAGCAGCAGGUGUAUCUCCAAAUGAACAGCCUGAAGACUGAAGACUCUGCUGUUUAUUAUUGUGCCAGAGACACAGUGACACAGGAGGCUGCAGCACCGUACAAAAACUGAUCAACACUGAUCUCA